UUUAAUUUCUUGCCUGGUCUUGUUGGUUGAUUUCGCUUUCUCUUCACUGCUACUGGAAUUGAAUUAGGGUUUCGAUAACUGGAAGGAGCUGCUACUAAUGAAGACAUCAUCAUGAUUGAUUAAAUAUGCUUUAUUUAUUGCUUGUUUUGAAUAAGCUAAGCAUGAGAUGCAUGAUACUAGUUAAUUAUAUGCAUUUUUUUGUUGAUUAGCCCUGUAUUUUCCCCUUCAUCAUGAAACCGAAAUUUAUAAAUUGUAAGAUGUCAUUGUGCUUGAUUUACAUGCCUUGAAAUGAUCCUAGAAAAGUUGAUCAACAAAAUUAUGUGAAAUAAGUGGCUUGUUCAAGGCUGGUUCAUAAGAAAUGGCUCUAACUAUUAAACUCACAUUGUGAUUGUUAAACUGAUUUUAAACUAAUCUAAUAUAUCAUGGAUAUUUCUGAAUUGAAUGCACUUGAAAUCAAUAAGAUUGGAUUUCCCUGACUUUCUAUGUGUGAGAUUGGAGAUUUUCAAUGUAAUCAUUUCUAGACUUGAUUUGCUUAUUGUUAACUCUUGUGUUUUGGGUUUAACCAUUCUUCCGAAGAUUGCAACAAAAAGUUUUCCCUUAUCUUCUUAAGCUUUAGUAGGAUUCAGAAAGCUCUGACCCCUCCAUUAGGAAGACUGCAAAAGGAUGCUCAUUACUUCCUCAGCUAUCAGCUUCUCUGCACUCUCAGUACCUUUGUAACUAUUCUACAGCUUUUUCUGAAUUUUUAAUAAAGUCACUCAAGACUAUAUUGAUGCGUAUCUGAGGUUAGCUGCAAUCGCAAAGGCUUGAAACAACAUUCUGUUAAGCAUUGAGCUGGUUCAUGAUGCGCUAAAGGUGAAUGAAAAGUGUCCAAAUCUUGAUCCACUUGUUCAGAUUUUUCCUAGUUUUAUGUGUUGAAUACAUUAGAAUGUAAUUAGCUUGUACAUAAUGUUAGAGGGUUAUUUAUUAUUUUGAUAAGUUUGUAAACUCAUUAUCUAAUAUUUAGUAUAAAUUUUAUUUUUAUAUU